CCUACGGGGGCAGCAGUGGGGAAUUUUGGACAAUGGGCGCAAGCCUGAUCCAGCCAUUCCGCGUGAGUGAAGAAGGCCUUCGGGUUGUAAAGCUCUUUCGCAAGGGAAGAAAGAUUACAUUCUAAUAUAAUGUGAUUAUGACGGUACCUUGAUAAGAAGCACCGGCUAACUACGUGCCAGCAGCCGCGGUAAUACGUAGGGUGCGAGCGUUAAUCGGAAUUACUGGGCGUAAAGCGUGCGCAGGCUGUUUUGUAAGUCAGAUGUGAAAUCCCCGAGCUCAACUUGGGAACUGCGUUUGAAACUACAAGACUAGAAUAGGUCAGAGGGGGGUAGAAUUCCACGUGUAGCAGUGAAAUGCGUAGAGAUGUGGAGGAAUAUCAAUGGCGAAGGCAGCCCCCUGGGAUCAUAUUGACGCUCAUGCACGAAAGCGUGGGGAGCAAACAGGAUUAGAUACCCUGGUAGUCCACGACCUAACCGACUAGUCACUAGUUGUUGGUAGUAGUAAAUACUAUGUAGUAACGACGAGCGUAACGACGUGAGGUUAGUACCGGUCCGUCGGGGUAGGUUACGGAGUCGCGAAGAAGUUAAACGUUACGAAGUAGAAGUUAGUUACGGCGUUGAGGACGUUGCCGACGGACGACGACGAGGGGAGGUUAGGAG
rnacentral:rRNA from 1 species